GGGAAACCUCUGACAUUUCAGAAUCACACCAGUGAUUGGAAACAGCUCAGCAACGCCUGAAUGGCAGUUAAUCCUGAAGGGUCCCUGGAGGCUGCUUGUUGAUGGGUUAGAAAAAAGGAAGGGACAGGAAGUGCAGCACAGUGCCCAAAGUCACAGUGAGAAGCCGGAGAGCUGUGUGGGACAGACCAUCUGGGGCACUGGUACCCACGGCACUGGCUAUAUCCAAUGUUUUCAGUGAAGCCUAGGCCACCAAAGGAGCCCCAUAUCUGCCACCUUCUGUGAGUGUCACCUGCAGACAGAGCAGCUGGAGUGGUCACGUGGUAUCCAGUUCCUGGCUUCUAUCAGGUCCUCAAUAAAUGGUAUCUCGUAGAGCCAUACUACCCCGAGGAAAGAGGAAUUUCAUUUCCUAGCUUUUCAGUAGAAGGGAUCUUCUAGAAGUUGAGUCAGCAGGCUUUGAUUCUUGGGAGCGACCGAAGGCAUUUUGGCCUUGGAGGACUCGCUUUCUCCUGACCAGGAGUCCCUGAGUCAGUUGGCUCCUAGGUAGUGAGCUGGAGAACAGAUGUUCCAGGAUGCUCCAGCUGGUCUUUUCUGUGGGCCUGAGACUAUGAACAGUCGAAACCAGGUAAGAUUGCCAAUGCUGGUGCUGGUGCUGCCCUGGAGGAUCGAAAAGGACCCUGGAAGUGUGCGUGAGGGGAUGGAAGGGUGGGGGGUGGGUCUCUGGUGUGCUUGAAGCCAGUCUCUGAAUGUCAACUGAAGACAGUGCUCUGAUACUUGUUCCCUGCCUCUCCUAGGCUAGCCAUGCCCCAGAGAAGACAUGCUGUCUCCUUCCACCAAAAGAGAGCUGCCACCCCUCAAGGACAUGCAGCUUUUGCUGGUCUGAGGAAGGGAAGUUUACACCAACCGUGCAUGGAAGGCCUGCUUUACUGACGAAGGAACUGAGGCAAGGAGGCGGACAGCUUCUCAGGGGGAAACAGAAAAGACAGACGCACAGAAAAUGAUGCCUGGGUUUGGUAGCGCCCCAUCACGCCCCUGUCCUGAGCGCGGAGCAUUUGGCAUCGCAGCUGAUCACAAGAGAUACCGCCUCCAAACAGAGAGCCAGCCUCCCGCAUUCACAGAGAGAGGAGGUCACAGAGACCGGGCCACUGACCUGCUGGCCUCUCACUCACUGGUCUGAUCACGUGCAGCUCCCAGGGGACCCCAUUGUCUACAGGGACAAGCUGGGGUUCAUUUGGGAAACGGUCCCUGGGAAUGGAAAAGGAGACUUCAACCAUGGAGUUACACUUUUGUGUUAAUACAACUGUGUUUUGUUUGGGGGGUUUUGUCCUUUUUCAAAUAACACUACACAGAGAACCCUAAGAAAGUCCCCAGGCUUCAGCAGACAGACGCAUCGUUUCUUUUUAUUCUAUCACUCUGGGGGGAAAGAGUAAAAAAGAGAGAGAAAAGAAAGAAAAGCAAGGAGAAAGAAGCCUCCAGAGCCCCCUCCCCAGUCCUUCCCACCAGCCACGUGGGUUUGCACAAUUAAAUCUCAAUAGCUCCUUCCUGGGCUUUGUGAGGGCUGUGACUGCCCCAUAAGGAGGGUCCCUGUGGCGUGCAGAGCAACUUGGCUCUCCACAGCCGUCUCUUGGGUCACACUGUCCCCGGCAGCUCCUUCCGGCCAGCCGCACCUACCCACACAGACUCCUUCCAGGUCUGAGUUGUUCCCAGCAGCAGGGGAGCCCCCUGCCUGGCAGGAAGUGACUUGGGCUCCAGCCAUGAAAAAAACCUGUCUGGCCAUGAAGGACGCCAAGGAAACUGACUGCCGGCUUCACUCGCCUGGUUUUGUGCUUGAGUUCACUGCGAGGGCUAAAUCGGUUUAAAGCAGGAGCAGGGAAUUCCUCUCCAAUUACGGAUCCAAUAGGAACUGUGUACAUUCUAAAAAUGUAGUAUUUUCCAUCUACGAAAUCCUAAAUUUCUAAUUACCUCUUAACAAAAUUGCAAGUGCAGGACUCAGUAACAGAGCAUCUUAAAGCCGAAGUGCUGUGUGAGCAGAAUCCAGAUAAGUCGGGGAGAGGCAAGGCUCCCCAUCUCUCCCCUUCCACGUCCUCAUUUCCUCUAGGUGCCCAGGACCACCUCCGACCCCUCCCACUCAUCAGCGACUCUCUCUCUGGAGAAUUUGCCUAGUCCUACCACCUCCACAGCGUCUCUCUGUCCCCGCCUCGUUGUCGCUCUCUCCCUGUCUGUCAUUUUUUGUCGUGUUCUCUAAUGUGGUAUUUUGCCAGUUGGGUUAAGCUGCCCACGCAUCCCCUCAGGCAGUG